CUGCGGCAGCGACGCUGAUGCGUUGUUGGGUAGGGGAGCGUUCUGUAAGCCUGCGAAGGUGGCCUGUGAGGGUUGCUGGAGGUAUCAGAAGUGCGAAUGCUGACAUAAGUAACGAUAAAGCGGGUGAAAAGCCCGCUCGCCGGAAGACCAAGGGUUCCUGUCCAACGUUAAUCGGGGCAGGGUGAGUCGACCCCUAAGGCGAGGCCGAAAGGCGUAGUCGAUGGGAAACGGGUUAAUAUUCCCGUACUUGGUGUUACUGCGAAGGGGGGACGGAGAAGGCUAUGUUGGCCGGGCGACGGUUGUCCCGGUUUAAGCGUGUAGGUGUGUGUUCCAGGUAAAUCCGGUUCACUUUAACACUGAGGCGUGAUGACGAGGCACUACGGUGCUGAAGCAACAAAUGCCCUGCUUCCAGGAAAAGCCUCUAAGCAUCAGGUAACAUCAAAUCGUACCCCAAACCGACACAGGUGGUCAGGUAGAGAAUACCAAGGCGCUUGAGAGAACUCGGGUGAAGGAACUAGGCAAAAUGGUGCCGUAACU
rnacentral:rRNA from 1 species